UACGGGGGGGGGCAAGCGUUGUUCGGAAUUACUGGGCGUAAAGGGUUCGUAGGUGGCCAACUAAGUCAUACGUGAAAUCCCUCAGCUUAACUGGGGAACUGCGUCUGAUACUGGUUGGCUUGAGUGCAGGAGAGGAACGCGGAAUUCCAGGUGUAGCGGUGAAAUGCGUAGAUAUCUGGAGGAACACCGGUGGCGAAGGCGGCAUCCUGGACCGGUAUUGACGCUGAGAAGCGAAAGCAUGGGGAGCGAACAGG
rnacentral:rRNA from 1 species